UCUCUCUCUUUCUAAACGUUUGCUCUCUAGAACCUUUUGGUUUUCUCCUUCUUCUCCGAUGAAACUCGUCGCCUCUCCGACCAUACUCCUCCCUCGCUUCUCUCGAUCUUCAGUCACCAUGGAACCCUCAUCAUCGUUGCUCACCUCUGAAACUUGAAGCCAAAGUCAUCUGCCAUGAAAGACUCACUGAAGCUUCACUUGGGUCUCUUUCUGGCUUUUCUCCUGUGGUCUUUUGUCCGAGAUGCCUUCUAUGGCAUCAUAUACGAGUUUCACGGCCAAGUUCUUCGUUUUCCCUAAUUUGUGUGCAAACCCUAAUUUUUUACUCAAACCUCUUUAAUCUCUACUCUUUUAAAACAACUCUCAGUUUGAUUUUGUUUUCUACUCUAUUUUACUUAGCGUUUCCGGUUACUUCAAACUUUAGAUGGUUACCACUCUUUCAAGUUAGGGUUUCUGACACCCUUCUUCAAAAUCGUUUCUCCUGCUCUUUCUGAGUAUUAUAUGUUCGUUUGCGUUUAUUUGUUUUACUUGUUUGUUUGGUUUCCUUGUUCACCUGGGUCCAUGCUUUAAUUUUUCCUUUGCUAGGGUUUCUGACCCUUUUUAAUCAUCAUGCUUCUAUUUCCUUUGGGUAUUACGUGAUUACUCCCAUGCUAUGUGGUUGAAACCUUUUGUUUUUUGAGUUCCAUGUCUCAAAUUUCUUCUAGGGUUCUGACCCCUACUGUUUUAUGCAAUUUUAUUGCUUAGGGUUCUUAGUCUUGCGAUUGUGUGCUUAAAUAAAUUCGAAUGCCUUUCUUCACCGAAUAUUAUGUUAAUUCCGAGCAUCUUUUGUAGGUGUUCUUACAUUGAUUUUUCAAAUUGUUUCCUUACUUAUGAGAUUGCUCUCCAUGUUUGGGACUGAUUCUCUCUUAUUUUUGUCUUGCCCGUAAUUCUUUGAUUGACUUCCAUGGUUAAUUUAUAUGGUUACCAUAAAUGUGCACUUAAUAUAUUUUUGGCUAUCCCACGUAUAUUUUUCCUUGUUUGAACCAUUGGUACCUAGACUCUAUUACAUGCAAUAUGCUUACCGCUUUUGUUAUGGUAUAAUCAGUCAUCAGAUUUAUUCUUUCCUUACUUGGUAGCCUAUACUCCUAUUCGAAUCAUGAGUCCCUGAUUAAUUUGAAUUAAGAUCCUGUGAUUGAUUCAAAUUGGUACCGUUCUAUAAUUAGGUACAUGUUACCCUAUUCUCUACUCUUUUUCAAAAAGCUAUAAGUACUACUCCUCUCUUCUCACUUGAGACACAGACACACUAAUACAAUUUCUCUAAACCUUCUUUCAAAAAACACACAUUGCAUAUCUCUUACAAGUUCAAACUCUCUGCAUUCUUUCUCUCUCUUUCUCUACUGUUACUACACUCUCUCAUUCUUCUAUUUGAACACUCAAUCGGCUGAAAGAAAAGAUUAAGUAAGCUUGUUUGUCUACUGCACUACUUGGAUUCUACUGCAUUAUUUGUUUGGGGUUUGCCUGUUGCUUGCCUCCCUGCACUGCUAUUCUCACAUUGCUACUCUCAUUCUCUGCACACUUUGCUCUCCCUUUGUGCAUUAUUGUUCAUUGCUAUUGUGUUCCAUUACCUGCAACUGGUAUGUCACCCAUUUAAGAUAUAGCCUCCAAAACAACAUGCUUCUAUUAGUUUUGCACUUCAUAUUAUUCUUGUGCGCUUUUACUAUGGUUCUAUUGCUUUUGUUGCCACUAGCAUGUAGUUGUUAGUCUACCUAGUUUAACUUAGCAUGUUUCUCCCUACCUCCUUUCCUUGUCUCAAUGUAUGUUUUCCUCUUCCAUGUGCACUACUUCUUGGCUACUUAAAAGCCCCGAAACCUCUCCCUGAGGUUGAUUAUAUUUGGGGUUUGGUGCAGUGAGAACUAAACCCUUGUUUUACAACCAUGUCUGAUUACUUUCCUCCAAUAUGUUGCCUGUACACUUUACUUAUUUGCUCCCUUACCCCCUCCCAUGUCUUAAUGAAUGUUUACUUUUUCCUUGUGUACUACUACCAUGCAUCCAUGUCUGCUUAGCUAUUUGGUUGGCUAAAACCCCUGUUUGAGGCUAAGUGUGUUAGAGUUUGGUAUAGUGAGAACUGAGCUCCUGUCUUACAAUCAUGUGUGAUUACUUUCUUCCAAUAUAUUGCCUGUGUAAGUAGUUUACUUUGCUUAUUUGUUCCCUCCCCAUUUGCCCUUAUUUGUGUGACGCUCUGUUGUUCUAAAAUUGGUCAGUCUAAAUGCCUUUCAAAAGAACUCUUGCAACUCUUUCAACUAUUUUCUUAAACUGUCUCACCCACUUGCAACUCUUUCAACUAUCUUCUUAAACUGUCUCAACGUUUUCAACUCUUUCAACUGUUUUAUCAAACUGUAUCUCAAUUGUUUUUACUCUCUUAAUUCUAAUCACAAUCUUAUUCUUAGAGCUUUAGGGUCUUCCCCCUUAGUGUAAGCAUUUCCUUGGGAGCCUUGAGCACCCAUUGAGCACAAGGCUGGCACUUCUACACUUGAACUUGUCCAAUUGGGAUUUUGGAUGCUUGGUAUUGGCCAUGGGUUCAAAAGAACCCUUAGGGAACUUUGCUGCACCCAAGCCUUGGUAAUGGCUGUGAAACUCGAAAGAAGUGAGGCUGGAGAUCUUGGGCCUGGCUGUAG
rnacentral:lncRNA from 1 species